UACGUAGGCAGCGAGCGUUGUUCGGAAUUACUGGGCGUAAAGAGUGUGUAGGCGGUGCUCCCAGUCUGUUGUGAAAUCUCCCGGCUUAACUGGGAGGGUGCAGCGGAAACUAGAGUGCUAGAGGGUGGGAGAGGUAAGCGGAAUUCCUGGUGUAGCGGUGAAAUGCGUAGAUAUCAGGAGGAACACCAGUGGCGAAGGCGGCCUUCUGGCUCGAUACUGACGCUGUAGCGCGAAAGCGUGGGGAGCGAACGGG
rnacentral:rRNA from 1 species